rnacentral:lncRNA from 1 species
UUUCUGGACAUUGUGUGGACCAUAUAGAACAAUUUGGUGUUGAAGGAUAACUUUCACUUUGGAUGUCUGGGUUAUGCCAUCUUUUGGAUCAACUAUACUAUACUAAUGGAUUUGUAUGGAAAAUCGAAGACUCCUGAGAGUCAAAUACGCAGUUCUACAAACCGGCAUUGUUGUCUUUUGUUUCCUGUCUUAUGUAUGAUGGUCAAGCCCUGAUUUCACAGAAGAAAUGUGAACCGCCACUCCUCGUGUCGAAAGGACACUGAUGUUUUCGUUUCCCGUUCCAGUUCCCAGAGCCCUUUAAAUCGAAAUAAUGAAGAACCCCUUUUCGGGAGAGAUUAAAUGUCCAGCAAACGACGGCAAUGUUGCCAGAUUCCUUUUAGCGGGAAUUUUAAAAUUUUAUAGCAGUUUGGUUUUAAAUUUGACAGUUCUGUUUUCUCAAGUCAAAAAUCUUAACCUUACUUUUACAAGUGAUUAGGACCAAUUAGGACUAUUAUUAUUAUUUUAUUUACAUGUAAAUUGAAACAAUAAAUAUUGUGCUGUGUCAUAAUUUCAAACUCAUUAUGCUGCAGUCUUUUCCAGUUGAUAAAAUUGCAAUUCAAAAACUUUUAGAUUUGCACUGUAUUGAUGGCACAGGAAAAGAACAAGAGUACAAGAAAAUGAAACAUCUUAUUAUGAAUGUAUAUGUAUGUGAUCUUAAAAAAAUUAUUUUACAAAACAAGAUAGAGAAACAGCUUUAAAAUCCCAAGGAUCCUGCAAAAUGUUUAUUUGGUGUACUAGUUGAAUAAUAGUAUCUAAAAAUAUUGAAACUAUUUUAAAACACGUUACAGCCAUGAGGAUGAUAUAGAGCACUUACAUAAAUACCAAAAUCAGAUAAAUAUCUCUUCAAAGUUUAUUUUGAGACUUUCUUCAAAAAUUAAACUUCAGACUGUUCAGGAUAGCAUAAUAGCAUAGGAGACGAAUUAAAAAGAAUUGAUUUACUUACAAGAAAAGAUAUCACAAACAUUAAACUCUCUUAUGGCAUUGAUUUGAAAGAUGGGUAUAUGUACAAUGAUGAUGCAACCAGUGUUUAUUUUUGGGUUGAAUGCUUACAGACUCAUGUCCAAUUCGCGAUGAAAAACAAAGUAUCUGACCUCUGGUGGAAUAAAUUUAAACGACUAUAAGUGGUAUAAACAAACCAAAAAAUUGUUGAUUUGAAUGGAAUUUGGUCACUAUUAAGAAAUUUUUGGUAAUUUUCACUAUUAUGAGUACAUUAAAAUAUUUUAAAUCAAAUCGGUAUUGUUCUAUUCCUCAAUUGAAUGUUUGUUUAUACCAUUUAUAUCGGCCAUUUUCCUGCAUUCGACCUGCCCUCUAUAUUCCGUUUCAAUCGCGAAUAUUAUUUUACAAACAACAGGGCAUACUAAUGGAUAUUCAUUCUGAAUUUAACAUUUAUGAUUUUUGUCUUAUUUUCCUUAAUACUGUGCCAAAAGGAAAUGUUAAUUAAGCUUGGUAAAUCCUUUAUCGCAAUCGAUGGAACUCAUGGGCUCAAUUCCUAUGACUUUGAACUUAUGACAGUAUUAGUAAAAGAUGAAUUUGGGAAUGGAUUUUGUACUGCUUUCUUAUUUUCAAAUAGAAAAGAUACCUACUUUAAUUUACCAAUUUUUUUAAAUACAUGUCUGUGUUGGUAUUAUAGUCAAAUGUUUUCAUAUCAGGCAUAAGCGACACCUUUUACAAUGCCUCGUCAAAUGUAAUGGGUAUUGCUCCUAAUAGACUGUUAAGUGCCUGGCACAUAGAUAGGGCAUGGUAAGUAAAUCUUAAUAAAAUAUCUGAUUCUGAAAAAAAUCCUAUUAUGUAUACAAGAUGUAUUAAUGAUGGUUUAGAGAGUAUUAAUAGCUUUUUGGGUAGACUUCUAAGUGAUGCAGAUACAUACAAUUUUAGUAAGUAUUUCCAGUAGAACUACUGCAAUAACAUCCAACAAUGGGCCUAUUGUUAUAGGAAAGGGUUAUGGAAUUAAUACCAAUAUGACCAUUCAAUAUUUUCAUAAAAUUUUGGAUAAAAGGGUAUCCAUUAGUUGUUAUCAGCUACGUUUAAAACUUGGCACUCAUGGAGAGCUAUACUAUAAUAUAUAAUAGGUAUAUCUCAUAAUAUUACAUCUCAUAUUGUUCACUACAGUAGUAAUGAGUGAGCCUGCAUACACAGAACCAUAAUAAUAUAUUAUAGUUCGUGUAUGCAGGCUCACUCAUUACAAUAGUGAGCAAUAUGAGAUAUAACAUAUUAUAGUAUAAGUCUCUGUGCAUGACCAGAUUAACACGUUUGGUACCCAUCUCAAACAAGCUCCACUUGGCUGGUACCACAUAGUUAAAUCAUUUAUUUAGUUACACAGUACUACUCACAUAACUUAUGUGUUGUCAGUACCUUCCGUAAAACGUUCGUGAUGCUACCCAUACGUCAUGGCCACUGAAUGUGUUAAAGCUUGUUAAUGUAGGAGAGUUAUACUAAAAUAUAUAUCGCCUAUUAUAUUGCCUUAAAUAGAAAAAAUAUCUUAUUUAAAUUGUAUCCAUGUAAGUUUUGAUUUAAUGAA